CACGGAGCUUGCUCUGUGGGAUCAGUGGCGAACGGGUGAGUAACACGUGAGCAACCUGCCCCUGACUCUGGGAUAAGCGCUGGAAACGGCGUCUAAUACUGGAUAUGUGACGUGACCGCAUGGUCUGCGUCUGGAAAGAUUUUUCGGUUGGGGAUGGGCUCGCGGCCUAUCAGCUUGUUGGUGAGGUAAUGGCUCACCAAGGCGUCGACGGGUAGCCGGCCUGAGAGGGUGACCGGCCACACUGGGACUGAGACACGGCCCAGACUCCUACGGGAGGCAGCAGUGGGGAAUAUUGCACAAUGGGCGCAAGCCUGAUGCAGCAACGCCGCGUGAGGGAUGACGGCCUUCGGGUUGUAAACCUCUUUUAGCAGGGAAGAAGCGAAAGUGACGGUACCUGCAGAAAAAGCGCCGGCUAACUACGUGCCAGCAGCCGCGGUAAUACGUAGGGCGCAAGCGUUAUCCGGAAUUAUUGGGCGUAAAGAGCUCGUAGGCGGUUUGUCGCGUCUGCUGUGAAAUCCGGAGGCUCAACCUCCGGCCUGCAGUGGGUACGGGCAGACUAGAGUGCGGUAGGGGAGAUUGGAAUUCCUGGUGUAGCGGUGGAAUGCGCAGAUAUCAGGAGGAACACCGAUGGCGAAGGCAGAUCUCUGGGCCGUAACUGACGCUGAGGAGCGAAAGGGUGGGGAGCAAACAGGCUUAGAUACCCUGGUAGUCCACCCCGUAAACGUUGGGAACUAGUUGUGGGGUCCAUUCCACGGAUUCCGUGACGCAGCUAACGCAUUAA
rnacentral:rRNA from 1 species